AAAACGUAGGUGACGAGCGUUAUCCGGAUUUACUGGGCGUAAAGCGCGUUCAGGCGGCUUGGCAAGUCGGGCAUUAAAUCUCUCGGCCUAACCGGGAGGGGCUGUCCGAUACUGCCGGGCUUGAGGGCGGUAAAAGGUGGUGGAAUUCCGCAUGUAGUGGUGAAAUGCGUAGAUAUGCGGAGGAACACCAGUGGCGAAGGCGGCCACCUGGGCCGUCCCUGACGCUGAAGCGCGAAAGCUAGGGUAGCGAACGGGAUUAGAAACCCCGGUAGCCCUAGCCGUAAACGAUGUUGACUAGGUGUCGGCGAUUAAAAACCGUCGGUGCCGCAGCAAACGCGAUAAGUCAACCGCCUGGGGACUACGGCCGCAAGGUU
rnacentral:rRNA from 1 species